GGUAUAGCCAAGCGGUAAGGCAGCGGACUUUGACUCCGUCAUUCGGUGGUUCAAAUCCACCUAUC
rnacentral:tRNA from 1 species